UACGUAGGGUGCGAGCGUUGUCCGGAAUUAUUGGGCGUAAAGGGCUCGUAGGCGGUUUGUCGCGUCGGGAGUGAAAUCCACUGGCUUAACUGGUGGCUUGCUUUCGAUACGGGCAGACUGGAGGUAUGCAGGGGAGAACGGAAUUCCUGGUGUAGCGGUGAAAUGCGUAGAUAUCAAGAGGAACACCUGAGGUGAAGACGGGUUGCUGGGCUGACACUGACGUUGAGGCGCGAAAGCCAGGGGAGCAAACGGG
rnacentral:rRNA from 1 species